rnacentral:lncRNA from 1 species
AAAAUUGAUACUUAAGAACCGUCAACAAAUACCCCCAUACUUAGGCUUUUACUCGUCCUCGAGAAAAGGAUGGUUAAGAACAAUAUCUGGGGUAAACAUUUAAAACAUUCUCUUUAUAAUUGCAGGGUGUUAAAAACCCACUGUGUACCAUAGUCAGGGAUGUUUAUGGUUAAGAGUAAAGAUCCUUUCUUCUCAAUCCUAUCACUUGGAGUUUUUGUAUAUUUUUGAAAGAAAGUUAGCAUACCUUUUUAUCCUCAUAGGUUCUCUCAGAUCACUCAUUAGCUAUUAUAUAUAUCUCACUGAGGCUGUUUUAUUUUGCAAAAAUUCUCAAGCAUUCUUACUUUGCAUUUAUUGUCUGAUCAAAACGGGAUCCGAGGAGGGGAAUGUCAUACUCUUAGAUAAAAGACUUUGGAAAUUAAAAACUUUGUCAACUCUUGGUGGCAUAUUGCUUAUUAGAGGGACCAUGGGCUAUCAUUUUUUUCUCUUUUCUCUUUUUUUAAGUGGAUACCGAGGUACCCCUAAUUCUACUGCCGGACACUUGUCCAUUUUUUUCUGCGAGGUUAUCGAGCACUUGCUCCUUUUUAUUUCCUCGAAAUACUUCUAUUUUUGCAUAGCCCAUGCCUCUAAUGCAAUAAUACUUCGGAAGAGUGAAUCUUACUGAAAUAAUGUCUUGAUCUUGGGAGCAUGAUAAAUCUCUCAACAAGGGUCUAACUCAUUUUGAACAAACUCAAUACAGAGCAUAUAGCUUUUAUAAUCAUAAUUAAUAUUUUUAGUUUUAUCAGGCAUAUAAAACACUGAGGAUGGUAGCUAGAAUUUUGAAUAUUUUGAAAUAAAUUCUCCAAGCAACAAUGAUAUCAAGAAUAAGAAACUCAUACUCUACCAUUCUAUAUUGACUUAAGUAACACAGGGGUUUAAAAUGAUUUUAUAAUAAUUGCAAGUUUUCAGGAAAUAUCAUAGAUUGAGAUUAAUCAUGAUUAGAAAUAUUUUUAAUCUUUUCAUCUUAUCAUGUCGGGAACAAUAAUCUGCAUAAUCCAAAAUAAAUGUAUGUGUAAAGUGUGCAGAGUGUGUACCUGAAUCGUGGAGUGGUAUAGUUGGAGUGUGUUUGGCAUGUCGAGGGAUCUCCCCCAUACUUGUUUUCUGCUUUCUUGCACAAAAAUAAAAUAGAGACACACAAGACAUAAUAAUAAUAAUAAUAAUAAUAAUAAUAAUAAUAAUAAUAAUAAUAAUAAUAAUAAUAAUAAUAAUACUCUUUAUUGAUCUUUAGGCAUUUAUUACAAAAGACUGAUAGCAAACUGAUAGCAAACUAAUAAUAGCAAACUUAAACCGAAUUUAAAGAUAGAUGCCUAAGAUGCAUUGCCUCAAGGUCUAAUCUAGAUAACUUAGCGGCGCUCUAAUUCUUUGAUCUUCUUGUUGGCACUGGCAAGAUCCUGCCUAAGGCCUAGUAUAAUGGUGUUGUGGUUAGAGAGCUGCCUAGUGAGGGAAUUAAUCGAGGACUGG